rnacentral:lncRNA from 1 species
CGCCAUCCUGCCAAGCGGUGAUAAUUUGUGGUUAGGUAUAUCCUAUCCUAUGUUGAUCUUUUUCUUUGAUUUUUUUACAUUUACCGUACAAUUCUCCGAGACUAUUACUUUAAUUACUAAGCUGAAGCUUGUUUUCUUCAGUUUUUCAUAGACCCACCUGCUUGUGGUGAUUAGAGCUGAGACAAAACUGAGCAUCGGAAUCUGAAGCUAGCGGGUUUAAUGUAAGGUCCAAUAAAUAAUUUUAGACAAUAGAUUGUAUUUUAGUUGAGUGAUUACUGAAUAAAUAGUUAUAUAAAAUGGUA